rnacentral:rRNA from 1 species
AUUGAACGCUGGCGGCAUGCCUUACACAUGCAAGUCGAACGGCAGCACGGGAGCAAUCCUGGUGGCGAGUGGCGAACGGGUGAGUAAAGUAUCGGAACGUGCCCAGUCGUGGGGGAUAACGUAGCGAAAGUUACGCUAAUACCGCAUACGAUCUAUGGAUGAAAGCGGGGGAUCGCAAGACCUCGCGCGAUUGGAGCGGCCGAUAUCAGAUUAGGUAGUUGGUGGGGUAAAGGCUCACCAAGCCGACGAUCUGUAGCUGGUCUGAGAGGACGACCCGCCACACUGGGACUGAGACACGGCCCAGACUCCUACGGGAGGCAGCAGUGGGGAAUUUUGGACAAUGGGCGAAAGCCUGAUCCAGCCAUGCCGCGUGCAGGAUGAAGGCCUUCGGGUUGUAAACUGCUUUUGUACUGAACGAAAAGGUUUGGCCUAAUAAGCUGAGCUCAUGACGGUACCGUAAGAAUAAGCACCGGCUAACUACGUGCCAGCCGCCGCGGUAA